GCGAAGACGGGUAGCUGGUCUGAGAGGACGACCAGCCACACUGGAACUGAGACACGGUCCAGACACCUACGGGUGGCAGCAGUCGAGGAUUUUUCUCAAUGGGGGAAACCCUGAAGGAGCGACGCCGCGUGGGGGAUGAAGGUCUUCGGAUUGUAAACCCCUGUCAUCUGGGAACAAUGCUGUUCACCUAACACGUGAACAGUUGAUAGUACCGGAAGAGGAAGCAGUGGCUAACUCUGUGCCAGCAGCCGCGGUAAUACAGAGACUGCAAGCGUUGUUCGGAUUCAUUGGGCGUAAAGGGUGCGCAGGCGGUCGGGUAAAGUCGGAUGUGAAAUCCCGCAACUUAACUGCGGAAGGUCAUUCGAAACUGCUUGACUCGAGGACUGGAGAAGAGACUGGAUUGUC
rnacentral:rRNA from 1 species